AAAGGAAGGAAGGAAGAUGCUUCCAGAGCCAGGAUCCUACCAGUGCAAGUGAUUUAUUACAAUGAUUUUUCUUAGUUUGUUGCAUAGGCUGUUAUCAAUAAAACGUCACAAUACAGUGCAUAGAGUUCGAUUUGGCUGUGGGGAGCAAGGAACCCCCUGAUCUGCGAAAACCAUUUUCAAGCAUUGGCGGUCUGGCAAUUCUGGCAAAUGCCAGAAGGGCCGGACCAUCUUCUAUUAAGAGCUCCUGUACCUUCAUCAGUGCCAGCAGUAAGUUUACCUCCGCCCAGUGCCUGUAUCAGUCCAAGGACUCAUCCGGGGUCAGUGCCCUUGCCUGGAGCAUAUCCUUCUACACCUGCCUGGGGAGAUGAGCAAGGCACUCAACACCAAAUAUACCCCUCCCUCCAGGAGAUACCUCAGUGAAACAUUAAUUCCGACCUGGUGUGGUGUAGAAAAGGCCAAUGUGAUCACUGAGCUGAAGGACGUGCGAAAGCUGGCCAUCACAUCAGACGGCUGGACCAGCCUCUGUCAGGACCACUAUCUCUCUGAUACAGUGCACUACACAAGGGCAGUGUGAAACAGAAGGUCCUCCACAC